rnacentral:rRNA from 1 species
CGGUACGUACUGGCAUUGUUGGUUUCUCCCUUCUGACGAACCAUGAUGUCAUUUAUUUGGUGUUGUGGGGAAUCAGGACUGUUACUUUGAAAAAAUUAGAGUGUUUAAAGCAGGCUCACGCUUGAAUACAUUAGCAUGGAAUAAUGAAAUAGGACGUUGAUCUUAUUUUGUUGGUUUCUAGGAUUAACGUAAUGAUUAAUAGGGAUAGUUGGGGGCAUUAGUAUUCAAUUGUCAGAGGUGAAAUUCUUGGAUUUAUUGAAGACUAACUACUGCGAAAGCAUUUGCCAAGGAUGUUUUCAUUAAUCAAGAACGAAAGUUAGGGGAUCGAAGACGAUCAGAUACCGUCGUAGUCUUAACCAUAAACUAUGCCGACUAGGGAUCGGAUGAUGUUAAUUUUUUUAAUGACUCAUUCGGCGCCUUACG